AUUGUCAAAGGAUAUGUUUCCAAUACGGAUGGCCUAGGAUGUCCCAGUGCAAAUGUGGUGCUAAGGUCGCUGAAGGGCUCCUGCCUGCAUCCCCACCCUAUGCAUCUGUGUCUCCCCUUUCACUCUCUUCCCUGUCUUCCUUCUCCCCUUCCUAUAGCCGUAGCCUGAAGAUUAUGACUCAGACCCCGUAAGGCUAUGAUCACGGACCUCAGGAUCAUGUGAAUUUUUAUACAGUAUUGAAGGGUCAUGUAUACUCAAGAAUGCAGCUGUUUUUGAAUUUGUGCUAGAGAUUCCAGGCUAUGCCAGAGGCUUCAUCCUCCAUGGGGCUUAUUUUUCAAGUUUGAGCAGAAGAUAGUCCAAGGGACAUUGGUAGUCUAAUUGAUCAGCCUGCAUGCUGACUCUGAGGCAACCAGUUGUAGGUGGUGAGGGGUCAUCCUUCACAGGGGUAAGACUAAUACCUUCACCUCACCCCAAGGGAGAUAGACUUGGCAAUGUCUCAUACUAGUACUCAUGGAUCGACUCAACUGGAGCUCCGAUUCAACCCCUAGCCUGGGAACCCCUGUAUGCCGCGGGAGUGGCCCAAGAAAUAGCAAAAAAAGACAAAAAAAUUAAUAAUAAUAAUAUGAACAUUAAGCUGAAAUCCUGUCUGCAGUUGACCUUCAUCUUAGGUAAGGAGUGUAAUCCCAAAGGCAGCGGGUUCUUCUGUGCACAUGCGUGGUCGCCCGUGUGGAGCAUCUUGGGCGGUGGAAGUGAGUGAGCGUCUGGAGAAGGGCUGGCUCUUUGCUGGUGCUUGGGAGUCAGGCAUGUGGCGGAGGUGGGAGAUGCCCAGGUGUGUGCUCCCUGCCUUCCUGGGAGCAGCAGGACUUUGGCCUGGGCCUGCAGCCUGUGUCGGGAUAACCCAUGAGCUUCAGCAUGGUGAUGGAUGGCGGGGUACAUGGACCCCCUGCAGACCUGAAGCAGCCAUUCCCCCAACUACUGGGAGUGACAAUCACUGGUUCACCAUCACCUCAAUCCCCUCUUUCCCAGGCUGUUGCCUUCAGAGGAGGAAAGCCUUCUUGUCCAAGGCCCGCCCUGCCCUGGGGCAGCUCCUAUGGAACGCCCAGCUUCUGGGGAGUAAAAAAGCCCCCUUACCCCAAUGUGGGCCGACUCUGUAACGCCAUCCUCACUGCCGAGGAUUGGCCGAGACCUUUAUGGCUGCAUCACCAUCCAAUGGGCCCCAUCUGGCUUCCAUCACUCCUUCUACGGGGGUUGAUGCUGAGAGCAGUCCUCAGUAAACUUCCUGCACACAGAUCUCCAUCUCAGAGUCAGCUUCCUGGGGACCCAACCUGUGACACUAGGCCAGGCCAGCUUCUGGUGGAAACAGUUGCCCGUGAUGUGGGCAGAUUGCUGUAGCCAUAGGGACAGAUGUGACUGCAACACUGUCUGUGGUCCAUCACCCUGUAGCGUGGUUUGGCAUCUAUGGCAAGGCUCUCCACCAUCUCUCUCCCCACUAGAGGUUUAUAUCUUUGAGUUAAGUGUUCUCCUUGCUGCAGGGCUCUCCUUUGGCGCCAUGCAUUCCCCAGAGGCUCUCACUUCCAUAUGAACAAAUAUCUCAGAGCAAUUUAGUCCCUACUAAGAGCAACCUAAUGAAGCUGUAAGGCACAGAGGCAGUACAGUUCGGGCUCAGGACAUAGACUUUGGUUGGGGACUGCUUGGUUUGCAUGUUAGCCUCUCGCAUAGUAGCUUCUGUGACCACAGGCAGCCCUUUAACCUCUCUGUACCCAGCUUCAUCAUCUGUAAGACAGGGUUAAUGACGGUGCCCACCUCAUGGGGUAGUUUUGCAGAUUAAGUGAAGUAGUGCCGCUGAAGCAAUUGCAGGCUGCCUGGCACAUGCUUUUGUAGGUAUUGGCUCUUGGAAAAUGAACAGGAAGAAAAAGGAGCUCAAAGGGGAUGGGAGGCAGCAGAAAAGUAAAGUCUUGGUGAAAGGGCACCAAAGAGAAGAUGACUCUUAGAACGUGACCACUUUGUGCAUCUUGUCCAAAGAUGACAUGGGAAUGAUUGAGGAAACAGACCCGGCCUUUAUCCUGGGGAGGAUGGGAGCAAGGACAGGAGAUACUGCAUGUAAAGACCAAGCCUUGGAGUCUAGAAUUGGUGGAGGGAGGCUGGUCAGGGGGAGGGAAUUAACACUUAUUGGGCACCUACUGUGUGCUAGGCACUGAGCUGAGCCCUUCUAUGUAUGUCCCAUUUGUUCCUUACUGCAUCCCUUUGAUGUAUGCAGUUUGAUUCCUGUUUUAUGGGUGGGAAACUGAGCUUGUUAAAAAUGAAGUCCCUUAAUCAGAAAGCUAUAAGCAGGGUUGGAAAGCAGGUUUGUGUGACAACAGGGUACGUGUUCUCAUGACUAGAUCACACUGCCUAAAGCAUUUUGUUCAGUGCUAUCAUGUGCUAGAGUCAGAGGGGCAUGAGAAUAAAUUGGGUACUUAUGAUAAAUCAACCUGUUAGGCAAGUCAGAGAAGCCACCUCCUCCAGGAAGCCUUCCCUGAGUUCCCCUGCCCCUUGCUUUGACUUCUUUGAUGCUGUAGGCUUCUCCAUCUUUUUCCUUCCUUCCUUCCUUCCUUCCUUCCUUCCUUCCUUCCUUUCUUUCUUUCUUUCUUUCUUUCUUUCUUUCUUUCUUUCUUUCUUUCUUUUUUGGUCUUUCUCUCUUUUUAGGGCCACACCCGUAGCAUAUGGAGGUUCCCAGGCCAGGGGUCGAAUCAGAGCUGUAGCCACCAGCCUAACGCCACAGCCACAGCCACAGCAACUCAUGAUCCGAGCUGCAUCUGCGAUUCACACCACAGCUCAUGGCAACACUGGAUCCUUAACCCACUGGGCAAGGCCAGGAAUCGAACUUGAGUCUUCAUGGAUGCCAGUCAGUUUCAUAAAUGCUGAGACACAACGGGAACGCCUUUUUCUUUUUAUGGCCACAUCCACAGCCUAUGGAAGUUUCCAGGCCAGGGACUGAAUCUGAGCCGCAGCUGAGACCUAUGCCACAGCUGCGGCAAUGCUGGAUCCUUUAACCCACUGUGCCAGGCUUGGGAUUGAACGUGCACCUUCAUAGUAACCCAAGCUGCUGCAGUUGGAUUCUUUUUUUUUUUUUUUUUUUGUCUUGUUGCCAUUCCUAGGGCCGCUCCCAUGGCAUAUGGAGGUUCCCAGGCUAGGGGUCUAAUCGGAGCUGUAGCUGCCAGCCUAGGCCAGAGCCACAGCAAUGCGGGAUCCGAGCUGCGUCUGCAACCUACUCCACAGCUCAAAGCAACGCCGGAUCCUUAACCCACUGAGCAAGGGCAGGGAUCGAACCCGCAACCUCAUGGUUCCUAGUCAGAUUUGUUAACCACUGAGCCAUGACAGGAACUCCUGCAGUUGGAUUUUUAACCCGCUGCACCACAGCGGGAACUUCUAUCAGCUUUAAAGUUCUUCUCACGUCCUCCCAAGUGUUACGGUUACUCGAGGGGCUGUUCUCAGUCCUGUAACGUAGCCCGGUUUCUAGAGAACAUUUAGGCUGAUCCGCUUUCCUUCCAUCGCCCUGCACGUUGCCUUUCCCCAGCAUCCUCAGGACUGUGUGGAGAGUUUCAUGGAAAGAAUGAACGCAUAAGAAGACUAGAGAAAGGUGGCAAGUGACUGGGUCCUGCAGCCUCAGGUGUUUGAGAAAUGUGAUGGAAAUAAGGAUUGGUUUGGAGAAGGGUAGUCAGGGAAGACUUCUCUGAGGAGGUGACGCUCAAACUGAGAUCUUGGAGAACGGGAACAAGUAAGGGUGGGGUGAGGCAGAGGGAAGAGGAGCCUGGUCAUUCUGAAGGGGCGCUGUCACCUUUCGGGGAUGGGCAGUUGAAGGUGUUUGUACCUCUUCAGCUGUGUGCUGCCAGGACCGAACUUGGUGACCAGCGUCUCUCCCGCAGCACAGGGGACUAGACGGUUCCCCCCAGAGGGUGUGGAUAUGCCAGCCUUGCUGACUUGAGACCAAAUGUUCCUCCUACACAGCUGUCUUAGCAAAAUGAAAUCCUGAUGGGAGGUGGGUGAGCAAGCGAGCAUGAAUUACCCUGGCCCACGUCUUGGCUCGCGUACAGGCUGCCUGCAUGCUUGAGCUUUCUCUCGUCUUUUAGAUAAAUCAGGAACCCCCAAACACCACUCCAGGACAGUCAUUCCCCUCCCCCUGCCUGCUUGGCAGAAUCAAGGCCUGCCAGUCCUGGGAAUAUUCAUACACACGUUACCUGUGCACCCUUCACUCGGGUGGGCGAGAGGGAGGAUGGGAAGCUGCACGUCUGAGGCUAGAGACUGAGGCCCCAAAUGGAGGCUCAUUUGUCCAAGGCCUGUGGCUCGGCCGGUUCAUACUGGUUCUUGGAUUUCUCAGCCCCCUUUCUGCCUCUUUCUCAGGCCCUUCUCCUUCCAUCCCUGACAUGGAGAUGUUCCCCAGCAUCUGCCACUCCUGGUCCCCUUCUCCCCUGGAGCCCUAAGAUACAGCAAGUCAGGAUCGGAAGGGUCCAGCCCAACCAAGUGGCUUCUGCGAAUUCUCCCCUCCAGCCUCUCUUGAGGGCUCUCCCUGUUCCGCUCGGGGACCCCACCCACCCAGAGCUCUUCCUUGCCUCCCCCUGGAGACUUUGUCCCUCUGCUAACGCAUUGGCAUUUCCACAUGCUUCUUGGACAUCUCAACCUGGCCAUGACCCCAUUAUCCCAAAUUCAACAAAUCUGGGAUUGGGGAGUUCCUGCUGCGGCUCAGUGGAUUACAAACCCAACUAGUAUCCUUGAGGAUGCAGGUUCGAUCCCUGGCCUUGCUCAGUGGGUUAAGGAUCCAGCAUUGCCAUGAGCUGUGGUGUAGGUGCAGACGUGGCUUGGAUCCGUCCUUGCUGGGGCUGUGGCAUAGGCUGACAGCUGUAGCUCUGAUUUGACUCCCUGCCUGGGAACGUCCAUAUGCUGCAGGUGCAGCCCUAAAAAGCAAAAAAAAAAAAAAAA
rnacentral:lncRNA from 1 species